GCUGGUACAGCAGUGUGAGAGACAUGGGCCUUCGGGGAACACUGCUGCUGCCUAUAGCACACUGCACUGCCAUAAAUAGCUAUACGAGCUAUUUUUGGAUUUCCCAUACUGCAGCAGACCUACACUGAACAGAGGUACACGACCCCAAACUGUCCAAGCCACAGGGAGAGCACGCUUAGGAUGUCAGCUUGCUCCGCUCCCCCGCUCAUCCCGUCUGUGGACCAGGGACGCUGUCCUCACUGCUUCCCUCUCGACCAGCAGCCUCAGACUGGGCCGGACAUUUGGGCCUUGAUGGAGAACCCUACAGAAGCCCAAGAGACACAAAACUGUCAGAAGCUGAGGAA